rnacentral:rRNA from 1 species
AGAUUGAACGCUGGCGGCAUGCUUUACACAUGCAAGUCGAACGGUAACAGGCCGCAAGGUGCUGACGAGUGGCGAACGGGUGAGUAAUGUAUCGGAACGUGCCCAGUCGUGGGGGAUAACGCAGCGAAAGCUGCGCUAAUACCGCAUACGAUCUAUGGAUGAAAGCGGGGACCGUAAGGCCUCGCGCGAUUGGAGCGGCCGAUAUCAGAUUAGGUAGUUGUGGGGUAAAGGCUCACCAAGCCAACGAUCUGUAGCUGGUCUGAGAGGACGACCAGCCACACUGGGACUGAGACACGGCCCAGACUCCUACGGGAGGCAGCAGUGGGGAAUUUGGACAA